CAGAGAUGAUCCCCACACGCGCGAGGCGACAAAAGCUUUGAUGGUUGGUGGGAGAGGCGGAGCUGCCGGGCCAUGGAAAGAGGGAGAGGGUGACUCGGGAAAUGAUUCAUAAUUGGCGCAAUAGAUGAAUUAUAGCAAGACAAAACAAUAAUGGAUGGUGUUUCUUGGGAAUUUUGUGUUUCAGCGCGUCGGAUUAGUCUUUCAAGGCCUCUUCUUUCCCGCCUCGCAGGCCCCCCCGCAAGCUCGGUUGGGCGGGAAGACGACUUGCGCCGGUCUCCGAAUCUGCGCCUCCGCCAAGAUCUCCUGGCGCAUGGCUGUGCUGUCCACAGCCUCUUCUGUAAGCUUCCCUCUGCCCAUGAGGAGCUUCUAAAUGCCGUUCGUAUCUCUGUGGGGUUAUCUUUACGGAUCCUUGCGAGAAGACGCGGUGUAGUGUGGGGGACUCUUCCUCGGCUCUUGGAGACGGCGGUUGUCUGACACUAGCCGCUGGCUCUUUCGCCCAGAUAUGUCUCAUUCGCCGUAGAGAGUCGAAUUUCCACCCCCCUCCCCCUGAAUAUGCGUCAAGACACGAAUGCAGUGUGGCUGUCUCGUGAUGUAGAUUUGUAAUUAAUGGGUAGAGGCUCUUGUCAAUUUGUUGUCUUAAAAAAAAUAAUCACAUUUUCAAAUGUGAUUGCUGCUGAAUUAGUUGGAACUAGCCAAUGUCAAUGCCAAUGGAACGAACCAUGUUUGGAAACUCCUCUUUAUCAACAUAAUUUUCCAUUUUAAAUGACGGAGUGGAGUGGGGAGAAGAAGGCAUUGAGCUCUCCUAUAUCCUUGAUGUAGACUUCAUUUUUCCGAUUAAACCACCAAGUGGAAUUGAUGUGCAGAAGAGUAAACUAUAUCCGCGUUUCAAUUGAAAAAUGUUGUAGAAGAAAUCAUGCUCUUUACUUCAUGCUCUUUACUUCACAGGGGGUCAUUGCUGUAAAAUGAGCUGUGAGAUAGGCUUCAAUUUUAUUCUUUCUUGACGAUCCUAUGCCACAGCGGAUCGCAUUUUUUUUAAAACCUCACCACAGUGGCUAGGCAGCCGAGUCAUACAAGGGACUCAACUCGUCUAGCCGAGCAUGUUUUCAUGACAUACCAGAAAAACAUUAUUUUCUGGGGUGCCUUUGUGCCACCUAAGCCACAAGGACAGUGUCAGACGCACUUUCUUCAUUUGUUCAUGCCAUUUGGCCAUUCGCUCCCCAUUUGUAAAUGGCCCAAUGAAAACUGAAAAUCGUCGCAUUUUGAAUGCCCAUUUGCAUGGCUCAUCAGGG
rnacentral:lncRNA from 1 species